rnacentral:rRNA from 1 species
AGAGGGUGCAAGCGUUAAUCGGGAUUUACUGGGCGUAAAGGGCGUGUAGGCGGAUACUUGAGUCGGGUUGUGAAAUCCCUGGGGGCUUAACCUAGGGAAUUGCAGUCGAUACUGGGUAUCUUGAGUAUGGUAGAGGAAAGUGGAAUUCUCGGUGUAGUGGUUAAAUACGUAGAUAUCGAGAGGAACAUCGGUGGCGAAGGCGGCUUUCUGGCCCAAUACUGACGCUGAGGCGCGAAAGCGUGGGGAGCAAACAGGAUUAGAUACCCUGGUAGUCCACGCUGUAAACGAUGAGAACUAGAUGUUGGUCAGUUAUUACUGAGCAGUAUCGUAGCUAACGCGCUAAGUUCUCCGCCUGGGGAGUACGGUCGCAAAGAUUA